rnacentral:rRNA from 1 species
UACGAAGGGGGCUAGCGUUGUUCGGAAUCACUGGGCGUAAAGGGCGCGUAGGCGGCUUUAUAAGUCGGGGGUGAAAGCCUGUGGCUCAACCACAGAAUUGCCUUCGAUACUGUAUGGCUUGAGACCGGAAGAGGUAAGUGGAGCUGCGAGUGUAGAGGUGAAAUUCGUAGAUAUUCGCAAGAACACCAGUGGCGAAGGCGGCUUACUGGUCCGGUUCUGACGCUGAGGCGCGAAAGCGUGGGGAGCAAACAGG